AAAGACCUGAAAAAUUGAACCCGGACAACUUUUGAAGUAAGCUGGAAAAGUAAGCUCUGCUCUUUCUCCAUGCUGGGUGGACCUCCUUGGCAACGUUCUUUGUACUUUGGCGUAAGCAACGGUCAGGGCUGCAGAAUCCAUGCACCAUUUUCCA